AUACGUUUCUCGGCCUUUUGGUUAAGAUCAAGUGUAGUAUGUGUUCUUAUCAGUUUAAUAUCUGAUAUGUGGGUCAAUGGCUCACACGAUAUUAAAUUUAUUUUUCAAAGGUGAAGAUCCAUCAAAGUAGCUUGCUACUUGGGUCUUCUAGCGUCGCCCAUGCGUUGCACUACUGCACGGGCCUGACGCACCCCGU